AUGCUCCAUGAGCUUCAUAUCAAAAUCUGGUUUGCAUCCUGUGUAAACCUGGUUGUUUCUUCUAGCUGGCAGGACAUGGACCGUGCAAGAGUGGCGCCUAGGCCCUUACCAUUCCAUUUAUUAGAAGAAAUCACGGAUGGUUUCUCCGAGGAGCGAAAACUUGGUGCUGGUGCGUAUGGAAGUGUUUACAAGGGACAGCAUAAAAAUGGGGAAAUUAUUGCCAUCAAGAAGCUUCAUUCUAUGCCAGAACUUAAUAACCAACAAUUCCAAAAGGAAUAUCUUAAUCUUGCAACUCUCCAGCAUCAGAAUAUUGUGAGGUUACUUGGUUAUUGCCAUGAAACUCGUGGAGAAUACAUAGAGUUCAAUGGAAGGACGAUUUUUGCUGAAAACCAACACAUGGCGCUGUGCUUUGAGUACAUGUGCAACGGAAGUCUUGACAACUGUCUUCAAGAUGAAUCAAGUGGACAUGAUUGGAAGACACGCUAUAAAAUAAUUAAAGGCAUAUGCAAGGGUUUGAAAUACCUCCAUGAGGAACUAAAUCCUCCAGUUUACCAUUUGGACUUGAAGCCGGCCAAUAUAUUGCUGGAUGAGCAAAUGAACCCCAAAAUUGCAGAUUUUGGAUUGUCGAAAUUCUUUGGAGAUGAACGAACACGUGUAUCAGCCAGCGCCAUUGGAACAAUUGGGUACCUGCCGCCGGAGUACAUAAAUUCUAGUCUUGUCUCAAAUAAAUUGGAUGUAUUUAGCUUAGGGGUAAUAAUCAUAAAGACAAUGACGGGACGCUUGGGCUACUCCCAAAGUGCUGAAAUGCCUUCUGAAGAGUUCAUUGAUCUCGUACAAGAGAAGUGGAAAAAUAGGAUACAAGGGGCAUCAACUGAUGAUAUUGAUUCAUGCGCCGAACUUGUGAAGACAUGCAUCAAGAUAGCUCUGAAUUGUGUUGACGCCGAUCGACACAAAAGGCCCAAUAUAGGAGACAUUAUCAGGGAGCUGGAUGAGACCGAGAUUAUGACACAGUUUUCUCAAGCAUUAACAAUUGACACCGGGUCUACGUCGUUGGACGAGCAGGAUGAGAGUGGAUUCCUGGAGGUUCAUCCUCACCAGCUUCGUUUUCCCUUCUUCGAGCUAAACAAGGCCAUUUGCCCUCUCCUCUUAAGUAACAGCACAGAAGAUAAUGUUGCCUUCAGAAUUCUCUCCGAGAACCACAUGGAGGAACUUUCGGAGCUGAGCGGCGUUGUGCCACCAAGGUCCACCCAAACCUACUGGUUAGUGAUGAAAAAGCAGCCUCCCGCGAACACGAGCGAGUUUGCUGUGACCCUGGAGAGCUGCAUAGCGCACGAGGACAUAGCAGACGGGGACGACCAGUUCUUACCGGAAGUCCUAGAACUAACUCAAGGCAACAAGGUGCAUAAGGUGACAUUAAUGGCGGUCACCUCUGAGCGGACGCGAUCAGGAGUAACCAAGGUCAUAUACCGGGUGGAUGCUGCUGUGCCUGUGGAUCAUCAUUUAACACAAAUAGAUGUGCAUCCAACAGAGCCAUGGAUUUUGGCAAGUCAUCGCCGUGGCGGUGUCUCAAUCUGGAACUACGAGACCCAGGAAAGAGUGAUGAGGUUGAAAAAUCUGGCUCCCACAGACAUGAUGCGUAGCGUCAAGUUCAUAGCGCGCAAGCGCUGGUUCAUGGCAGGCGACUUUCACGGGUGGAUCCAUGUGCACUCGUUCGCGAUGAACGACGAGGUGACGAAAUUCAAGGGGCAUGACGGCGUAGUCAUUUCACUGGUGGUUCAUCCAAGCGACCCUCUAGUGGUGUCAUCCUCUGUCGAUCGCCAUAUCAAGCUCUGGAACUGGGAGGCUGGCUGGAGGUGCGUCCGGAAACUCAAGGCGCACUUGAACAACGUGGAGAAAGUUGUGUUUAACCCCUGGGAUAGCAACUGCUUGGCUAGCGUCGGCAUGGACAACAUGCUCAAGAUCUGGAAAAUUUCUUCACCACUUCCUGUCACCGUACUGGACUGCGACGAGCAUCAGCUCACUGUUGAUUAUUUUCAUCCGGGUGGCGACCGGCAGUACAUUGUCACCGGAUCCGUGUCCGGGAAAGCUCGAAUCUGGGAUGUGAAGACAAAUACGUGCAUUCGACAAAUCAGUGGGCUCCAAACUGAUAACAGCCGAUGCGUUGGUGUGGUACGUCCAGACUGUCCAUUGCUAGUCAUGACUUUACAGGGAAAUGUUACUUCUUUGUACAACUUCGAUACUGAUUGCUACGAGAACUCGAUUGACUUCAAACUUGGAGAUGUCUUAAAUUUCGCUUACGCGGAGGGCAUAAAAAGUGUCGUGAUCGGAUUUUUUGGAGGAAUAGCAAUGAUGAAAAUCAAUUGA
rnacentral:rRNA from 1 species